CAGACAGCAGCAGGUAGGCCCUAGGGCACAUCCUCGUAGGUUAAAAUGAAGAGUUUGUCCUCUCCUGGGACAGCGCAGGGGUGAAUUGGCUCAUUUUCACAUUGACCCCUCCUAUAUUGCGCUUGAGGUGAUUUUAUCUCUAGAAAAAAAAGAGUAGUCCAGGGUAAAUCUCCUCUGCCCAUCUCAGUGGGAUUUGUUCCGGUGAGAACAACUUCCCUCCUCACUGAGGAGCUCUGACGUUCAUCAAGGGACAUACACAACCCCAGUCUUGGGAGAGGAUCACUGGAGUCUGCUGCGCUGCUUGGAGAAGUGCAUCCUUCUUGUGGUCCACAGCACCAACUGCAGAAUUGAUCUGGAUUACCAUAAAGCCUGGACAGUACAGCAAAUUGGACUGGUGAGAAAGUAGUUCAGAUUUUAACACCGAUAACACAUACCUGGUGGCACAUUGUGGACUCCACGUAAACACCGCUGCCAGUCUUCGUGAAUUGAUGGAAAGUCAUUAAUCUUGGAAGAUUCAAAGUGACAUUAGUAUGUCCAGUGAUGGGGUGAGAUCUAUAACCAGGCGAAAUACGUGCUGACUCUAGAGAUGGAGAAGAAUGUGAAUGAAAAGCUGCUUAAGACUCAUUUGUGAUUUAUGUAUGGACAGAAGUACAGAAACUGCUUAGAUUCUGUUAAUCACUUCCCCGAUGUCUUUCAUGGUGUUCUUCAGCAUGGUACAAGCAUAAUGCUUAGGUUAGUGCUCCUAUCCUGGAUGCAUUUAUUCUUGAAAACAAAGCU
ensembl:lncRNA